rnacentral:lncRNA from 1 species
ACUGACAGAGAUUUAAACCAGGUGGACAACACUGUGUCUGAUAUGGACAGGAGACACCAGCACUGCUCUGAUGACCUGCAGAGAAGAGAGGACACAAACAGACAGAGAUUUAAACCAGGUGGACAACACUGUGUCUGAUAUGGACAGGAGACACCAGCACUGCUCUGAUGACCUGCAGAGAAGAGAGGACACAAACAGACAGAGAUUUAAACCAGGUGGACAACACUGUGUCUGAUAUGGACAGGAGAAAGCAGCACUGCUCUGAUGACCUGCAGAGAGGACAGGAGACAAAGAGACAGAUGUACAGAAGACGUUACUUGAAUCGUCUUCCACAUACACGUGAAUAAUGUAUAGUCAUUUGUAAACCCACUGAUCUUGGUGCCCUUUGCUUAAUGUAUUCAACAUGACCCCGGGACAACUUACUCCUUCUAAGGCUGAGAAACAGGUGUGUGAAAAUAUAUGACAGAUAAUGACAACAAUACGACGGGGGGUUUCUGUAUGCAGACAUUGAAUAAUAUCAUGUUCUGUAUAGAUAUGACAACAAUACGACGGGGGUUUUCUGUAUGCAGACAUUGAAUAAUAUAAUGUUCUGUAUAGAUAUGACAACAAUACGACGGGGGUUUUCUGUAUGCAGACAUUGAAUAAUAUCAUGUUCUGUAUAGAUAUGACAACAAUACGACGGGGGUUUUCUGUAUGCAGAUAUUGAAUAAUAUCAUGUUCUGUAUAGAUAUGACAACAAUACGACGGGGGGUUUUCUGUAUGCAGACAUUGAAUAAUAUCGUGUUCUGUAUAGAUAUGACAACAAUACGACGGGGGUUUUCUGUAUGCAGACAUUGAAUAAUAUCGUGUUCUGUAUAGAUAUGACAACAAUACGACGGGGGGUUUUCUGUAUGCAGACAUUGACUAAUAUAAUGUUCUGUAUAGAUAUGACAACAAUACGACGGGGGUUUUCUGUAUGCAGACAUUGAAUAAUAUCAUGUUCUGUAUAGAUAUGACAACAAUACGACGGGGGUUUUCUGUAUGCAGACAUUGAAUAAUAUCAUGUUCUGUAUAGAUAUGACAACAAUACGACGGGGGUUUUCUGUAUGCAGACAUUGAAUAAUAUCAUGUUCUGUAUAGAUAUGACAACAAUACGACGGAGGGUUUUCUGUAUGCAGACAUUGAAUAAUAUCAUGUUCUGUAUAGAUAUGACAACAAUACGACGGGGGUUUUCUGUAUGCAGACAUUGAAUAAUAUCAUGUUCUGUAUAGAUAUGACAACAAUACGACGGGGGUUUUCUGUAUGCAGACAUUGAAUAAUAUCAUGUUCUGUAUAGAUAUGACAACAAUACGACGGGGGUUUUCUGUAUGCAGACAUUGAAUAAUAUCAUGUUCUGUAUAGAUAUGACAACAAUACGACGGGGGUUUUCUGUAUGCAGACAUUGAAUAAUAUCAUGUUCUAUACCAAAACAUAUUCUUGAAAACAAGUACAGCAUGUAAACCAGAAAUAAAGGCAGAUCAUAGUUUUAAUUCUGUGUCAACAAACUGUUCUAAAAAUAUGUAUCUUGUUCUUCUCGGCUCUGUUGGCUGGUGGAGUUGCUUCAUUGUUAAAUCUAUAUUUUUUUUAAAGGUAUGAUAAAUAUAUAUAUAUAUGUUUUAUAUGAAAAAGGGAUUGGUUUAAAACUGGAGAUUUUAUUUGAUAGAUUUAUAACAUUCAAUUAUGUUUGUUUUUUUUUACAUUUCUUUUAUGUUGAUAAAAUGUUUUGCCUUGAUGAGAACAUGGCAGGCAGGUAGAGGGUGACUAAAAACAAAAUGGCUUCCUUUCAAAACAAUCCCGUUCCGUGUUCACGUGCUAAUCGGAACUUGGACAUUUCAGACAUGCUAACUGGUUGUGGUUACACACGCGCCCGCGUUCAACCAGUUAGAAAGUCUGAAUUUCCUAGUUCCGACUAGCAAGUGAACACGGCGUUAAACCCCCCCAUUUUCCGCGCAGGGAUAUGACAUCAUCAGUAUGAAUCUGCUGCAGGUGUUUUGACGAAUGUUUAUAUGUUGUUGUUUAAAAUAAAAAUUUUUUUUUUUUUUAUCAUUUAAAUGAUUGAUUGUUUUUAAAAAAAAUCAUUUAAAUGAUUGCUUGUUUUUUUAAAACAUUUAAAUUAUUAAUUAAAUAAUUUUUUUAAAAUCAUUUUAAAUGAUUGAUUGUUUUUUAAAUUUUUAUCAUUUUAAUGAUUGAUUGUUUGAUUUUUUAAAACAUUUAAAUUAUUAAUUUUUUUUUUAAAUUUUUAUCAUUUUAAAUGAUUGAUUGUUUUUUAAAUUUUUAUCAUUUUAAUGAUUGAUUGUUUGAUUUUUUAAAGCAUUUAAAUUAUUAUUUUUUUUAUUUUUUUUUAAUCAUUUUUAAUGAUUGAUUGUUAUUUAGUUUUUUAAUCAGAAUGCUGUAUCUCUGUUAAUUGAUUGAAGGCAUCUACCUCAGUGUCCGCAUCACGUUUCAUUUCCAACAGCAGCUGUGACCCCUGGGGUCGUGUUCCAAUGGAAGACAACAGGAAGGGGACUACCUUGAGUUCAACAAUAAGAAACACUCACCCCGUGUUAACUAUGUCACCCCGUGUUACCCCGUGUUAACUAUGUCACCCCGUGUUAACUAUGUCACACCGUGUCACCCCGUGUUAACUAUGUCACCCCAUAUCACCCCAUGUUAACUAUGUCACCCCGUGUUAACUAUGUCACCCUGUGUUAACUAUGGCACCCCAUGUCACCCCGUGUUAACUAUGGCACCCCGUGUCACCCGGUGUUAACUAUGUCACCCCAUGUCACCCCGUGUUAACUAUGCACCCCGUGUCAGGCCCAGUUAAAACAACCAGUAAUGCCCUAUUCGAUGCAGCAUUGUGAUAAACCCUACUGUCUCCCUGGACUGCAGUACAACAUCAACCCAGUACACCAUCAACCCAGUACACCAUCAACCCAGUACACCAUCAACCCAGUACACCAUCAACCCAGUACACCAUAUUAUACAGUGGUAUAGAUAUCACCAUAUUAUACAGGGAACUCAUCACCGUCGACCCAGUCAGAUGUACUGGUAUAGAUAUCACCGUCGACCCAGUCAGAUGUACUGGUAUAGAUAUCACCAUCGACCCAAUCAGAUGUACUGGUAUAGAUAUCACCGUCGACCCAGUCAGAUGUACUGGUAUAGAUAUCACCAUCGACCCAGUCAGAUGUACUGGUAUAGAUAUCACCGUCGACCCAGUCAGAUGUACUGGUAUAGAUAUCACCAUCGACCCAGUCAGAUGUACUGGUAUAGAUAUCACCAUCGACCCAGUCAGAUGUACUGGUAUAGAUAUCACCAUCGACCCAAUCAGAUGUACUGGUAUAGAUAUCACCGAUCGACCCAGUCAGAUGUACUGGUAUAGAUAUCACCGUCGACCCAGUCAGAUGUACUGGUAUAGAUAUCACCAUCGACCCAGUCAGAUGUACUGGUAUAGAUAUCACCAUCGACCCAGUCAGAUGUACUGGUAUAGAUAUCACCCAUCGACCCAGUCAGAUGUACUGGUAUAGAUAUCACCCAUCGACCCAUCAGAUGUACUGGUAUAGAUAUCACCCAUCGACCCAGUCAGAUGUACUGGUAUAGAUAUCACCGUCGACCCAGUCAGAUGUACUGGUAUAGAUAUCACCAUCGACCCAGUCAGAUGUACUGGUAUAGAUAUCACCAUCGACCCAGUCAGAUGUACUGGUAUAGAUAUCACCCAUCGACCCAGUCAGAUGUACUGGUAUAGAUAUCACCCUCGACCCAGUCAGAUGUACUGGUAUAGAUAUCACCAUCGACCCAGUCAGAUGUACUGGUAUAGAUAUCACCCAUCGACCCAGUCAGAUGUACUGGUAUAGAUAUCACCGUCGACCCAGUCAGAUGUACUGGUAUAGAUAUCACCAUCGACCCAGUCAGACCUACUGGUAUUUGACUUCCAUCAUUACAGACAUCCAGUGUCUACAGGGCAGGACAGGGCCGUACGGGGCAGUAGGGGGCAGUAAGGGGCAGUAGGG